rnacentral:lncRNA from 1 species
GUCUUGAUCUUGAUUUCUCUCUGGUUCUGUGUUGAUUUGAUUUUUGUUAGUUUUCAUUCUGCUCGUAGUUGUUUCUUUACCUAUUCCUUUUAACUAGGUUAGUAUAAGUUUGUUUUGAGUCCGAUUAAUCUGCUUGGUUCAUUUUGGUUUUAAUUCGAAUACGCUUUGAUAUAUAGUUUAAUUCAGUGUUCAUUAGCAUAUGUUUAAAUUUUUCUAAUCUGUUUUAAAUCAGUAUUGUUUAGUUAAUAUCUGAUUUUGAUUAGUUUCGUCUCAGUCAA